AAUUAUCACCUGCUUUAAUUGCGUUUAUUGGUCUCACAGUGCCUCUGGAUAAUUUGUGAGCUGCACUCUUUUACUGCAUAUUCUGUCUGUAGCACUCAGCCAGGCUGUGGCUUCUCCGAGCCUGUGAAUGAGGCCAGGAGAAAAUGACAAACCUCUGAGAUGACCUGGGAGACAAGGAGCUGCCCAUCUGGCUUGCCCACUAGCCCCUCUGAUCACUUUGACUUUACAGCGGCAGCCCUUAAAGAAGACCCUGGUGGCCCGAACCCCGCUAGGAGCAGCAUGAGUUAAUCUGAGAGCUGAGGGCGUGGUGCAGGGUGGAGAGUCACAGCCCUCUCCUUCCCCGAUUCACAUGCACGUGCAAGCAGCUGUGUGUGAGCAUUCGUGAGCACAUGCCUGUGUGCACUCCUUUCUACUGGCUUCGGUCCUGAUCAUAGACGGGGAAACUCUUACACUGAAACUCAGACUGAAACAGACUGGCAACUCCCUAAUCCUGCACAGAGCCUCAGAAGGCGAGAGGAGAGUAGAAGUCUGAGCUGUGUAAGGUAACAAAACCUUCUUGUGUGCGAGGUUAGCACUGCUUUCUAACAUCCUCAAUCUUGGGAGAACAUGCUUUCUGGAUGUGUUGGAUGAAAAACAGAGCCACGGCGAUAGACACUGGUUAUUUGAAUGCGCAGAAGCAGGUUGUAAGCGGUCCCUCCCUCGUCGUCAUCAAAGCCUUUCCUCUGGGCCAAUCAGAGCAGCAGAAGCUCUGUCAUAACGGAUGAACACUGAAGUCGUGCACAGUUCAAGGACUCCAGCUUCUGAAGGAGGGAGCAGAGGUCAUGUGCAGAGCUCUUGACAGGAGAGGGGCCCUGGAGGGAACGUCCCAUCUCUGACAUGCUGGUGGGAUCCUGCUCGCUUCCGCCGAAGUCAGGACUUCAAACGGUUGCUCCUUUCUGUUCUCUGAUGGGAAAAAUAAACGAGAGAAUGAAGAGGACACAUCUCUACUUGGGAGGCAGCAAGGGCUCUGCUCAAGGAGCUGCAGACAUGGACACCACACUGCACUUUAGAGCUGAAGAGAAGGGCUGGGGUCACGGCUCUGGAAAGACCCAGUGUAAGUGUCAGGCAUCCCAAGGGACAGAGAUAGAACCAUCGGAUUCGACUGAAGCUGCUAUUUCCACUUGAGAAAUGGGGGCUUGGAGCCAGAUCUGCUUCACUUUAGAAAAUCACAGGGCAUACUGGCAGGAGGAGAUCCCAGCCUGGAGGGUGUCUGCAGGGCACAAAGAAUGUAUGGACUUUUACAGCUGUGGCUCUAGUGAUCCUGGUUCUCCCCAGCCCCUUUGCCUUAGAGGGUAUAGAAAUGCUGCACAUGCGUUGUGGUUGUUUCUGGGCACAGCGCCAGCAGUGUGACUGUGUGAGCUCACCUUCCUGAGGGGAAACACAGAGCCCACACACCUGCAUCGCAGAAGGCACUUGCUGAAGAUGUUGCUUUCUUUGGCCCUGGCCCUCUUUCACCCAAGGCCAACUGUGAACUCUGCCGUGCUGCCUCCCAUCCCAUAGUCAGCUUCGCGGGGUCAAAGGUCCCAAGCUCCUCUCUCCUCCUCCAGCUCCUUGGCCAUGAGUCUAUCACUCAUCUUGAGAUUGAAACCCCCUUUGGUUAAAUGCACAGGCUCCACCCUCCUCCAAAGCGGGGGCAUCCACUCAGAUCCUUUGAUAAACAGGUGAGACUCCUUGAUCUCCAGUCUUAUAGCCUCAUAGGACUCCUUUGAUCCCCGAAGCUGCUUUCUGUGCUACCAGCUGGGCAUCUCAGGGGCUGAUACCAGGAGCCUCACACCUUCCCAGGAUGGCUUUGGGCUGGGUUUCUGACAGAAGAGGACUACUUCCAAGGGGAGGAGAGAUACCACCCACAGCACCAGGACUACAAUACCUGAUAGAACAGGGGCUGCCAGCAAGUGAUGUAUUCCACGUGGAGCCCCUGAUUUGGCUCCAAACACACCAGGGAUCACCAGAUGAACAGCCUGAAAAGCGUUACAGCAGGAGGGAAAGGAAGGGGUUUCCUUUCUCCUGCUCUCUCUCCUCCUGAAGGAUCCUGAGACAGGAGUUGUUAACACAUCAAAGGGAGGGAGGCCGGAGGGAGCAGCCAGAAUGCUCUUGUCACAGAAUGCAAAACUGUCGCUGCACCUGGAGCUACCUUUUGUGGGGACCUCAGGGUGGAAAUGGGAUUGGUAGGAGGAAGAUGAGGGUGUCUUUAGAAGUGGGGAGGCCAAAGGAAGGAGGGGCUUCCAAAUGCUCCAGGAGGAACAGUUUGGACUGAUGAGCUUUAGGGACAGAAUGAAUCCAGGUUAGCCUCACCUUCUACACUCUGAGCAAGUGGGAUUGACUCUCCUGGAAUCUGACUACUUAUGAUUUCAAAAUGGGCAUGUUGGCUCAUAACUGUAAUACCAGCUCCUAGGAGGCUGAGGCAGGAGGAUCACCAUGAGUUCCAGGCCAGUCUAAGAUACACAGAGAGACCUUAUCUCAAGAAAACCAAACUGAACCAAACCAAAACACCCACCUCCUCCAACAAAGCUAUUUUAGAAAAUGGGGAGUGCACAACUUUUACUGAAGGUAUGUGGGAGAGCCUGUGAGUGUGCUUAUAGCAUACAUAUAUCAGUAUCAAAACUUGAUAAACAUAUUGUUAAAUACUUGCUUCUCAGCAAACAAAUUUCCUUCCUUGUGAGGACACACUUUCCUUCUUCAUGGGUCUGUUUCUCAAGAUUUGCCUAACCACCUGGACAUGUUGGGCUCUGCUUUCUUCUUGGCAUUCUGCUCAGCAAGGUCAAAAUCUCCUGGUCGUUCAAAGGGCCACAGCAGACAGGCCAACAUCCAGCCUCUGGAGUUCCACUUGUGUAGGAAUCCAGGUUCUUGCUGAUUACAUGAAUCAUCCUACCAUGUUUCACAGUAGGCCCUUGAAACAGACAAUUUAUUGAAAUAGACAAGAGGCACUGUCUUGUCUAAUGGCUACCAUAGCCCCAAGAGGUUGGCAUGAGAGAGGAGGCUGAGCCUUAGAGACACUGAGCCUAAAGUUAAGCAGAGAGAAAACACCAGAAUCAGACUCAAAAUUCACAUCUGGAUUCAAUGACUUCUUCAGCUGAUUGAUCUCUCUAUCGGCAACAUGGGCUCCACCAUUGACUGUGUGGAGAGUGGUUUUUGUAUGUAAAACCAACUAUGAUUGUCCUAUCCAAGACUAUAUUAGCUGAAAUGAACAAUUAUUUGUCAUGAACAGAACAUGACUUAGUAUAGAGGUAUUCACAGUGUUGCCCAUGAAUUAAGACUAUGAGCUGGAGCACUAUCUCAUUUUAUCUGAAAAAAAAUGAACAUUGUUUCUAAGUUCUACUACUCUUCUCAGCCCA
rnacentral:lncRNA from 1 species